rnacentral:rRNA from 1 species
AUACGGAGGAUGCAAGCGUUAUCCGGAUUUAUUGGGUUUAAAGGGUGCGUAGGCGGAUGAUUAAGCGUGAGGUGAAAUGCCACUGCUCAACAGUGGAACUGCCUCGCGAACUGGUUGUCUUGAAUGCUCCUGCCGUGGGAGGAAUGUGUGGUGUAGCGGUGAAAUGCAUAGAGAUCACACAGAACACCGAUUGCGAAGGCAUCUCACGAAGGGGUGAUUGACGCUGAGGCACGAAAGCGUGGGGAUCAAACAGGAUUAGAUACCCUGGUAGUCCACGCAGUAAACGAUGAUGGCUAACCGCUGGGCUUAUCAGUUCAGUGGCCAAGCGAAAGCGAUAAGCCAUCCACCUGGGGAGUACGACCGCAAGGUUGAAACUCAAAUGAAUUGGCGGGG